rnacentral:rRNA from 1 species
UACGUAGGGUGCAAGCGUUGUCCGGAAUUAUUGGGCGUAAAGAGCUCGUAGGCGGCCUGUCGCGUCGACCGUGAAAACCCGCAGCUCAACUGCGGGCUUGCGGUCGAUACGGGCAGGCUGGAGUUCGGUAGGGGAGACUGGAAUUCCUGGUGUAGCGGUGAAAUGCGCAGAUAUCAGGAGGAACACCGGUGGCGAAGGCGGGUCUCUGGGCAUUACCUGACGCUGAGGAGCGAAAGUGUGGGGAGCGAACAGG